UCAGUUCCGGGAAACAGAUAGCCUGCUAUAAGGUAAGUAAGUGAUUCCGACUUAUCAACAUGAUUACUUUGCAGGGUUCCCGGGUAUCUCCCGUGCAGUGCUUUACUACGCCAUUCCUGCAAGAGUGUCUCCAGAGCGUGCUGCGGCAUUUCUAGCUGACCUGCCAGAUUCAACGGACUCAGGUUUUCAUCCUCCUGACAUAUGGCCUGGUGAAACGCCUGUCGUUAAUCACUUUUAUACUUUCCUUGAAAUUACUGCUCCGGGCUUUGAUUUUGAACUCCGAAGCUAUCUUGCGUAUCAGCUUUUCGACUCUACUGGUUGGUGAUGCAGUGUUCAGGCGGCACUUCCAAGGUGGUGGUCUUUCAUCUUUUUCAGACAGCACUUCCUUUAUUCUCAUUCCCAGUUCUGUGCAUACUGUGAUAGCGGCCGCGUAAACGAAAUCUACCAUAUCUU